GUUGAAACACCAGUUCCUAUACAAUCACCGAAGUUAAGCAACAUUGAGUCUAGUCAGUACUUAGAUGGGUGACUGUGAAUACCAGGUGAUGUCAG